UUUCUCAUUUACAACUAAGUGAAUAACCCUGACUGGGAAAUAGAAGUCGGAGCCCAGUGACUCUAAGCCAAGGCCAAUCUUGAGCCUGCAAAACAAGGUCAUUGAAGACCCGGUUAGUUCUUACUGGGGAGCCUCCCCUGCAGGUGUCCCAGCCUGCACACCCCAACAUGAAAGGAGCACUUUAUACUGAGAGGAGCUAUAGAGCCCUAGAGAGCUGGGAUCCACAGGCAGAUGCUGUUGGGGUCGGAGUCUGGAGGCUCUUUCUGAGGAUGGAAUUGUUAUUGUUCUGGGGCUGUUUCUAGACUUUGUCAAAUAAAACAAAUUCACAUUUAGAUAAGAAGUUACUUACUUCAAAGGAGUAUUACAACAGAGGGAAAGCACCAACUAUAUCUUCCAGGAUCUCAAAGUUUAGGCAGACAAGGGCUUUCUUUCGUUUGGAGGAACAAACCAGAGUAGAAAGGUGAGAGUGAGAGGACAAGAUGCAGGGUGGCAAAUCAGAUCCUAGAUUAGAGAAAGUUUGACUCCCAAAUCAGCCUGUUCUUAGGAGGGGCAUAAAUAGGAGUUGUAUGUUAGCUCAAGCAAAGGGUGGGACAAAUUCAUGGGCCUAGGAGAAGGAGAGAAUCUUAAGCAGUUUUGUUAAUAAGUAUUUUGUUCUAACAACUGAAGACAAAAUUAUUCAGCUGACUGUUUAUAGGGGGAAAAUGGGAAUUUGAGAGUCUGUGCCUGGCUUUGUGAUAGGUAUAAGAAGGAGCUUCAUCUAAGUUAGAGGGGUGUUGCUUUUUAUUAAGCUGUUCUUGGAGAACACAGAGCUGAAGGAUUUCAUUAAUCACAGCUAUUUACCUGCUCCAUCUUCCCCCACCACUUUCCAUUGCCAUAUUCAGCUCUUCCAUUUGACUGUUCCUGAGUUGUAUCUUUUACAAUAAACUGGUAAACAUAAG
rnacentral:lncRNA from 10 species